rnacentral:rRNA from 1 species
GAGUUUGAUCUUGGCUCAGAACGAACGCUGGCGGCAUGCCUAACACAUGCAAGUCGAACGAUCCCUUCGGGGAUAGUGGCGCACGGGUGCGUAACGCGUGGGAACCUGCCCUUAGGUUCGGAAUAACUCCCCGAAAGGGGUGCUAAUACCGGAUAAUGUCUUCGGACCAAAGAUUUAUCGCCUUUGGAUGGGCCCGCGUUGGAUUAGCUAGUUGGUGGGGUAAAGGCCUACCAAGGCGACGAUCCAUAGCUGGUCUUAGAGGAUGAUCAGCCACACUGGGACUGAGAUACGGCCCAGACUCCUACGGGAGGCAGCAGUGGGGAAUAUUGGACAAUGGGCGAAAGCCUGAUCCAGCAAUGCCGCGUGAGUGAUGAAGGCCCUAGGGUUGUAAAGCUCUUUUACCAGGGAUGAUAAUGACAGUACCUGGAGAAUAAGCUCCGGCUAACUCCGUGCCAGCCGCCGCGGUAAC